GCAAAAGCUUGGUGUGGACAAGCUGAGAAAACAUACGUUCAACAGGUAAUCAUUCUGAAUGGAAGAUUUUCGCCUGGGUUUGCUGGCUUCUGAAGUCUGAAAAUCGUGCAUGCAGUAGAGAAGAGUCAAAGUCAAUUGUGAGAAAGCAAAGUUCAGUGUCAAAU